GAUGAACGCUGGCGGCGUGCUUAACACAUGCAAGUCGAACGAAGCAUUUAGGACAGAUUACUUCGGUUUGAAGUUCUUUAUGACUGAGUGGCGGACGGGUGAGUAACGCGUGGGUAACCUGCCUUGUACUGGGGGAUAGCAGCUGGAAACGGCUGGUAAUACCGCAUAAGCGCACAAUGUUGCAUGACAUGGUGUGAAAAACUCCGGUGGUAUAAGAUGGACCCGCGUCUGAUUAGCUAGUUGGUGAGAUAACAGCCCACCAAGGCGACGAUCAGUAGCCGACCUGAGAGGGUGACCGGCCACAUUGGGACUGAGACACGGCCCAGACUCCUACGGGAGGCAGCAGUGGGGAAUAUUGCAAAAUGGAGGAAACUCUGAUGCAGCGACGCCGCGUGAGUGAAGAAGUAAUUCGUUAUGUAAAGCUCUAUAAGCAGGGAAGAUAGUGACGGUACCUGACGAAGAAGCUCCGGCUAAAUACGUG
rnacentral:rRNA from 1 species